rfam:Triticum aestivum genome assembly, contig: Triticum_aestivum_CS42_TGACv1_scaffold_019071_1AS
UAACUUCUCCCUCCGUCCAGAAAUACUUAUCCGAGAAAUGGAUGUAUCUAGACGUAUUUUAGUUCUAGAUACAUCCAUUUUUAUCUAUUUCUAUAACAAGUAUUUUAGAACAGAGGGAGUAUAUA